UACGGAGGGUGCGAGCGUUGUCCGGAAUCACUGGGCGUAAAGGGCGCGUAGGUGGCCCGUUAAGUGGCUGGUGAAAUCCCGCGGCUCAACUGCGGGGCUGCCGGUCAGACUGGCGAGCUAGAGCACGGUAGGGGCAGAUGGAAUUCCCGGUGUAGCGGUGAAAUGCGUAGAUAUCGGAAGGAACACCAGUGGCGAAAGCGGCUUCCUGGUCCAGCACCGACGUUCAGGCACGAAAGCGUGGGGAGCAAACAGG
rnacentral:rRNA from 1 species